rnacentral:rRNA from 1 species
GACGAACGCUGGCGGCGUGCCUAAUACAUGCAAGUCGAGCGGACUUGAAGAGAAGCUUGCUUCUCUGAUGGUUAGCGGCGGACGGGUGAGUAACACGUAGGUAACCUGCCUGUAAGACUGGGAUAACAUUCGGAAACGAAUGCUAAUACCGGAUACGCGGUUUGAUCGCAUUACCGAACCGGGAAAGACGGAGCAAUCUGUCACUUACAGAUGGACCUGCGGCGCAUUAGCUAGUUGGUGAGGUAACGGCUCACCAAGGCGACGAUGCGUAGCCGACCUGAGAGGGUGAUCGGCCACACUGGGACUGAGACACGGCCCAGACUCCUACGGGAGGCAGCAGUAGGGAAUCUUCCGCAAUGGACGAAAGUCUGACGGAGCAACGCCGCGUGAGUGAGGAAGGCCUUCGGGUCGUAAAGCUCUGUUGCCAGGGAAGAACGGGUGGAGGAGUAACUGCCUUCAUCAUGACGGUACCUGAGAAGAAAGCCCCGGCUAACUACGUGCCAGCCGCCGCCGUAAGAC